rnacentral:rRNA from 1 species
GUGGGGAAUUUUGCGCAAUGGGGGAAACCCUGACGCAGCAACGCCGCGUGGAGGAUGAAGGUCUUCGGAUUGUAAACUCCUGUCAGUGGGGAAAAAGGGGAACGUGCUCAUACCACGUUUCAUUGAUUGUACCCGCAGAGGAAGCCCCGGCUAACUCUGUGCCAGCAGCCGCGGUAAUACAGAGGGGGCAAGCGUUAUUCGGAAUUAUUGGGCGUAAAGGGCGCGUAGGCGGCCGCACAAGUGGGAGGUGAAAUCCCUCGGCUUAACCGAGGAGCUGCCUCCCAAACUGAGUGGCUUGAGUCCGGGAGAGGUGAGUGGAAUUCCCAGUGUAGCGGUGAAAUGCGUAGAUAUUGGGAGGAACACCAGUGGCGAAGGCGGCUCACUGGACCGGAACUGACGCUGAGGCGCGAAAGCGUGGGGAGCAAACGGGAUUAGAUACCCGAGUAGUCC